rnacentral:rRNA from 1 species
GACGAACGCUGGCGGCGUGCCUAACACAUGCAAGUCAAGGGCUACCCUCGGGUAGCACUGGCGCACGGGUGAGUAACGCGUGGGUAAUCUGCCCCUAUCUCUGACAUAACAUCGAGAAAUCGGUGCUAAUAUCAGAUGAGGCCCGCAAGGGUCAAAGACCGCGAGGUUGGAUAGGGAUGAGCCUGCGUCCGAUUAGCUAGUUGGUAGGGUAAUGGCCUACCAAGGCGACGAUCUGUAGCUGGUCUGAGAGGACGACCAGCCACACUGGAACUGAGACACGGUCCAGACUCCUACGGGAGGCAGCAGUGGGGAAUUUUGGACAAUGGGCGCAAGCCUGAUCCAGCAAUGCCGCGUGCAGGAUGAAGGCCUCGGGUUGUAAACUGCUUUGUACGGUAACGAAACGGUAGAGCUCUAUAAAGACUUAGCUAAUGACGGUACCGUAACGGAAUAAAGCACCGGCUAACUAACGUGCCAGCAGCCGCCGGUAA